UAGAUAGUUUAAUUCAGUGAUUGAAAAUAUCAAAGCAAGCAUGUAACAACACUUAAGCAAUUGACAGAUAAAUCUACGUAUUCAUGUUGCGGCUCAUGGCCUCACUCUAGCGAAAAGAAAUUAGUUACACAUACUUGUAUUUGAAUACAUAAGAAAUUAUCCAUGAAGAAUCAAAGAAAGAGACAACCCUUUUUUUACAAAGAAGCUAUCUGCCUUUCUCCUCCUUCCAUGUGGAGCUGCGGCUCCCUUAUGUUUCUGCCAUCUUCUUCUCCCUGCAACUCUCUCCUUUUUCCUCUCCUUCUUUUCUGCUCUCUUUUAUCUGUGUUCCCCCCCUCUCUUCUCCCUGUCUUCUGUCCUUUCAGCCAAAAUCAGCUAUAUGCUUUUAUUUUUUCACCAGCAACAAAAGCCCAAUGGAAGACAAGUCAAAUUUCCACUUCGGUAGUGGGAUUGGCAAG
rnacentral:lncRNA from 1 species